rnacentral:rRNA from 1 species
GAUGAACGCUGGCGGCGUGCCUAAUACAUGCCAGUCGAGCGAACGGACGAGAAGCUUGCUUCUCUGAUGUUAGCGGCGGACGGGUGAGUAACACGUGGAUAACCUACCUAUAAGACUGGGAUAACUUCGGGAAACCGGAGCUAAUACCGGAUAAUAUUUUGAACCGCAUGGUUCAAAAGUGAAAGACGGUCUUGCUGUCACUUAUAGAUGGAUCCGCGCUGCAUUAGCUAGUUGGUAAGGUAACGGCUUACCAAGGCAACGAUGCAUAGCCGACCUGAGAGGGUGAUCGGACACACUGGAACUGAGACACGGUCCAGACUCCUACGGGAGGCAGCAGUAGGGACUCUUCCGCAAUGGGCGAAAGCCUGACGGAGCAACGCCGCGUGAGUGAUGAAGGUCUUCGGAUCGUAAAACUCUGUUAUUAGGGAAGAACAUAUGUGUAAGUAACUGUGCACAUCUUGACGGUACCUAAUCAGAAAGCCACGGCUAACUACGUG